UACGUAGGGGGCAAGCGUUGUCCGGAUUUAUUGGGCGUAAAGAGCUCGUAGGCGGUCUGUCGCGUCUGCUGUGAAAACUCAGGGCUUAACCCUGAGCUUGCAGUGGGUACGGGCAGACUAGAGUGCGGUAGGGGAGACUGGAAUUCCUGGUGUAGCGGUGAAAUGCGCAGAUAUCAGGAGGAACACCGAUGGCGAAGGCAGCUCGCUGGGACGGUACUGACGACUGGAGGC
rnacentral:rRNA from 1 species